rnacentral:misc_RNA from 1 species
CUGAGUCACUCUUACGCUUCUUCCCUUUUGCCACAUUGUUUUUCUGCUCUUCUUUAUCCACCUUUGCAUCAGUAGAGAUUUUGGGCUUAGUUUGUGCAGAACGUCCAGGCUUUGAACUCUUGUCUACGCCCUGUUUUUUCUCAAGGGCCUGCUGUUUCAAGACAUUCUCUUCAGUAUGUUUCAAAAGUCGAUCCGUGCCUAUCCAUUCGUCCCAAUUUUUAUUCCAACCAAGGUAAUGAACAAAAUAUUUCCAUUCCUUCUUUCGGAGCUCAGCUUUUUGAACCUUGGCCUCAUAGAUGCGAGGACCGUGAUAAGCCAGGACGCGCUCUCCCUCGGAGAAGAGGCCGGAAUUGGAAGGAGGAGCAUCGCCGCUUGAGGCCUCGCCAUCGCUGCCGGAAUCGUCCUUGGAUGAGCUCCCCAUUUUGUUCACCGA